UCCCCUGUAGUUCAGUCGGUAGAACGGCGGACUGUUAAUCCGUAUGUCACUGGUUCGAGUCCAGUCUGGGGAGCCA
rnacentral:tRNA from 1 species